rnacentral:rRNA from 1 species
GAUGAACGCUAGCGGUAGGCUUAACACAUGCAAGUCGAGCGGCAGCAUGGUCUUAGCUUGCUAAGGCUGAUGGCGACCGGCGCACGGGUGCGUAACGCGUAUUCAACUUGCCUCUCAGAGGGGUAUAACCCGUCGAAAGACGUACUAAUACCGCGUACACGCUAUGUUGUGCGGCCAGUGUAGAGGCAAUGAAAUUCGCUGUGAGAUAGGCAUGCGUGCCAUUAGCUAGUUGGUGAGGUAACGGCUCACCAAGGCGACGAUGGGUAGGGGAACUGAGAGGGAGACCGCCCACACUGGUACUGAGACACGGAGCAGACGCGUAAGGGAGGAAGCAGUGAGGAAUAUUAGUAGAUGGGAGAGAGACUGAACCAGCCAAGUCGCGUGAAGGAUGACUGUCGUAUGGAUUGUAAACUUCUUUUAUACGAGAAUAACAAGAGUCACGUGUGGCUCCAUGCAUGUAACGUAUGAAUAAGCCACGGCUAAAUCCGUG